rnacentral:lncRNA from 1 species
GCGAAACAGGUGACAAACUUUUUGAAAUGAACUAUACCUAUAUAUAGGAAUAUAAAAAAGGAACUUUGUAUUUUAGGAGGAUGAUUAUGUAUAAAAAAUGUGCAGUGUUUAUGUUUAUAAGUUUAUGUUAGAAGCGUUUAUGGGUAAGAUGGUAGCUUACCUGGUAGAGGAUCGCGCGAAGCGGCGCGCGACGGAGGCGCCAGCUAGCGGCGGCAAAAAAAGGGGCUAUUCCAUUUUUUGGGGGUAGGAAGUAGGAAAACGGGGUGCAGAUGUUUUGGGGCUACAAAAAAAGGUUGUCGGCUGAGUGCGCGGAAUUUCCGCUCUAUCUUACGCCGAAACGCCCUCGUCUCCCACGCGCCGCCCUCCUGCUGCAUUGUGCCCUAUCGCCCAUCCAUCGGUGCCCUCCUAUAUCAUUCUCUAGCUUCAGGAUUAUUAUUCUCUAGCUUCGGGAUUACAUUCGACCGUGCACCUGUGCACGGAAAAAAUCCCUUAUAUCUAGCUUGUCUCGAACCUCCGACCGCAGCUAUGCCGUCCUAUUACCUAACCUACUAGGCUAUCUGGACUGCUUGACGGUAUCUCUUCGGAGCUGCUAUUUCAGCCGGCCAACGCGUUGUUGAGGGCCUCUGCGACGCAUGCGCUGUCCGGGUGUCUCGCCGGCUCAGUCCUUGCCGAUUGCGCGCUGCGCUUCGACGCCGCGAUUCGCUUUGGCGGUCGGAUCUUUUGCGCGUGUGGACCCAUUCCUAUUGCUGUGCUUCCUAUUGCGGCCGCUCCGCUAUUUCUGCGGGACCCGAAAAGGUGCCCCGCUUGAACCGUCGUUUCCACGGGGCUCCGACCUCC